rnacentral:misc_RNA from 1 species
ACACCCUCAAGCUCUGCUUGGUGUUGGGCGUCUGUCCCGCCUUUGUGCGUGGACUCGCCCCAAAUUCAUUGGCAGCGGUCUUUGCCUCCUCUCGCGCAGCACAUUGCGUUUCUUGAGGUGCGAAUCGCGUCCACGAAGCAUUAUUACCGUCU